rnacentral:rRNA from 1 species
GAUGAACGCUAGCGGCAGGCUUAAUACAUGCAAGUCGAGGGGCAGCACGGUGUAGCAAUACAUGGGUGGCGACCGGCAAACGGGUGCGGAACACGUACAGAACCUUCCUCAGAGCGGGGGAUAGCCCAGAGAAAUUUGGAUUAAUACCCCAUAGGAUAGUGGAGUGGCAUCACUCAGCUAUUAAAGAUUUAUCACUUUGAGAUGGCUGUGCGUCUGAUUAGGUAGUUGGUGAGGUAACGGCUCACCAAGCCGACGAUCAGUAACUGGUGUGAGAGCACGACCAGUCACACGGGCACUGAGACACGGGCCCGACUCCUACGGGAGGCAGCAGUAAGGAAUAUUGGUCAAUGGACGCAAGUCUGAACCAGCCAUGCCGCGUGGAGGAUGAAGGUCCUCUGGAUUGUAAACUUCUUUUAUCUGGGACGAAAAAGGGAAUUCUUUCUCGUCUGACGGUACCAGAUGAAUAAGCACCGGCUAACUCCGUG